rnacentral:rRNA from 1 species
CCUACGGGGGGCAGCAGUGAGGAAUAUUGGUCAAUGGCCGGAAGGCUGAACCAGCCAUGCCGCGUGAAGGUCAGUGCCCUAUGGGCGUUAAACUUCUUUUGUGCGGGAGCAAUAAUGGUCACGUGUGGCCAGACGAGAGUACCGUACGAAUAAGCAUCGGCUAACUCCGUGCCAGCAGCCGCGGUAAUACGGGGGAUGCAAGCGUUAUCCGGAUUUAUUGGGUUUAAAGGGUGCGUAGGCUGGGAGGUAAGUCAGCGGUGAAAUGCCCCCGCUCAACGGGGUGAAGUGCAAUUGAUACUGCAUUGCUGGAAUGAGGAUGCCGAGGGAGGAAUGGGGGGUGUAGCGGUGAAAUGCAUAGAUAUCACACAGAACACCGUUUGCGAGGGCAUCUCACAAAUCCGGGAUUGACGCUGUUGCACGAAAGCGUGGGUAUAAAACAGGAUUAGAUACCCCUGUAUC